UACGAAGGGGGCUAGCGUUGCUCGGAAUCACUGGGCGUAAAGGGUGCGUAGGCGGGUUUUAAGUCAGGGGUGAAAUCCUGGAGCUCAACUCCAGAACUGCCUUUGAUACUGAAGAUCUUGAGUCCGGGAGAGGUGAGUGGAACUGCGAGUGUAGAGGUGAAAUUCGUAGAUAUUCGCAAGAACACCAGUGGCGAAGGCGGCUCACUGGCCCGAUACUGGCGCUGAGGCACGAAAGCGUGGGGAGCAACAGGG
rnacentral:rRNA from 1 species